rnacentral:rRNA from 1 species
CCUACGGGAGGCAGCAGUGGGGAAUAUUGCACAAUGGGGGAAACCCUGAUGCAGCGACGCCGCGUGAGUGAAGAAGUAUCUCGGUAUGUAAAGCUCUAUCAGCAGGGAAGAAAAUGACGGUACCUGACUAAGAAGCCCCGGCUAACUACGUGCCAGCAGCCGCGGUAAUACGUAGGGGGCAAGCGUUAUCCGGAUUUACUGGGUGUAAAGGGAGCGUAGACGGCAGCACAAGUCUGGAGUGAAAUGCCGGGGCUUAACCCCGGAACUGCUUUGGAAACUGUGCAGCUAGAGUGCAGGAGAGGUAAGUGGAAUUCCUAGUGUAGCGGUGAAAUGCGUAGAUAUUAGGAGGAACACCAGUGGCGAAGGCGGCUUACUGGACUGUAACUGACGUUGAGGCUCGAAAGCGUGGGGAGCAAACAGGAUUAGAUACCCCAGUAGUC